rnacentral:rRNA from 1 species
UCAGAAUGAACGCUGGCGGCGUGCUUAACACAUGCAAGUCGCACGAGAAAGCCUGGAGCUUGCUUUGGGCGAGUAAAGUGGCGCACGGGUGAGUAACGCGUGGAUAAUCUACCUCUGAAUCUGGGAUAACACCUCGAAAGGGGUGCUAAUACCGGAUGAUAUCGUAAGGACUUUGGAAUUUACGAUCAAGGAUGGCCUCUGCAUGCAAGCUGUUGUUUAGAGAUGAGUCCGCGUACCAUUAGCUAGUUGGCGGGGUAAAGGCCCACCAAGGCGACGAUGGUUAGCUGGUCUGAGAGGAUGAUCAGCCACACUGGCACUGACACACGGGCCAGACCCCUACGGGAGGCAGCAGUGAGGAAUUUUGCGCAAUGGGGGAAACCCUGACGCAGCAACGCCGCGUGAGUGAUGAAGGCCCUCGGGUCGUAAAGCUCUGUCAAGUGGGAAGAACCCUUUGGAGGUAAAUAGCCUUCGAAGCUGACGGUACCACUGAAGGAAGCACCGGCUAACUCCGUGCCAGCAGCCGCGGUAAUACGGAGGGUGCAAGCGUUAUUCGGAAUUACUGGGGCGUAAAGGGCGCGCAGGC